AACGCGACCCCAGUCAGGCGGGGCUACCC
rnacentral:rRNA from 1 species